AAGACCUUGCACUUUUGGAGCGGCCGAUGUCUGAUUAGCUAGUUGGUGGGGUAAUGGCCUACCAAAGCUUCGAUCAGUAGCUGGUCUGAGAGGACGGCCAGCCACACUGGGACUGAGACACGGCCCAGACUCCUACGGGAGGCAGCAGUGGGGAAUUUUGGACAAUGGGCGCAAGCCUGAUCCAGCCAUGCCGCGUGAGUGAAGAAGGCCUUCGGGUUGUAAAGCUCUUUCAGUCGGGAAGAAAAGGUUGCGACUAAUAAUCGUAGUUCAUGACGGUACCGGAAGAAGAAGCACCGGCUAACUACGUGCCAGCAGCCGCGGUAAUACGUAGGGUGCGAGCGUUAAUCGGAAUUACUGGGCGUAAAGCGUGCGCAGGCGGUUCUGUAAGUCAGAUGUGAAAGCCCCGGGCUCAACCUGGGAACU
rnacentral:rRNA from 1 species